CAUUGGAGGAACCAGGGAUAAGACAAUCCCAGACUCGUUACCACCUUGCCCAUUUUCCUUCACACCAAAGCAGUUUGGAAUGAAACAGGGGAACGUCUUUGACCCACUCAAACUCCAAAUGUUAGUUUAGACACUAAGCCACUGAACCAAGAUUCUCUGGCUUGAAAGGCACAGGGAUAGGGAGGAGCAAGUGCAUUGAUUGGUGGCACUCAUCACUUUCACUUCUGUUUCUAUCAUCAAGGAAGUGCAAGCAUUACUGAGAGCUAGCUGUAUUUUCCACCUGCUCCAGUUACUGAGUGUGAUAGAGUCAGUGCCAAAAGCAGGUAUCACAAGGGAUUUAUUACACUUCUGUGAAUUUUUCCUGGGAGGGGAGGAAAGGAAGAGAGCCAAAAAUGUUACAAGGAAGGAAGCCAUCAACUGAGAAUUCCUCUGAAUUGUUCCUGCACAAGAAACAGAUGAAACCACAGAACGCUCUGUGUACAAAGUGCAAAGUACAAAAGCUAGUUUACAUUUGCCAGUGUUUGUUGUAUUUCCUAUGCCGAAUACAAUAAAUACGCAGUAAAAUAAAAUAUGGAGGUGUGGGAAAUGAUUUUAUUUAUGUUUAUUAAAAAUAAUGCCAAAGUCAUGGUUGCUGAUAUUUAUCUUUAACUACACAUCUCUGCCACUACAAUGCAGACGUUGCUGAUUCAAGCUCAGGCAAAAAGAGAUGUGUUUAUUAUGGGAUUAAAAUGUACUUAUUACAGAAUGAAAGUUUAAUUUUCCUACAGAUUGGACCACCAGGAUACAAGAAAG